GCCGCGGUGGUGGAAUUGGUAGACACGCUAGUUUCAGGAACUAGUGCCUCUUACAAGGCGUGAAGGUUCGAGUCCUUUCCGCGGCACCA
rnacentral:tRNA from 1 species